GACGUAGGGGGCCAGCGUUGCUCGGAAUUACUGGGCGUAAAGGGUUCGUAGGCGGUGUGGCAAGUCGGGAGUGAAAUCUCCAGGCUCAACUUGGAGGCUGCUUCCGAAACUGCCGCGCUAGAGUGCGAGAGAGGCCAGUGGAAUUGCAGGUGUAGCGGUGAAAUGCGUAGAUAUCUGCAGGAACACCCGUGGCGAAGGCGGCUGGCUGGAUCGCAACUGACGCUGAGGAACGAAAGCUAGGGGAGCGAACAGG
rnacentral:rRNA from 1 species